GACGGAGGAUGCAAGUGUUAUCCGGAAUCACUGGGCGUAAAGCGUCUGUAGGUGGUCAAAUAAGUCAACUGUUAAAUCUUGAGGCUCAACCUCAAAAUCGCAGUCGAAACUAUUCGACUAGAGUAUAGUAGGGGUAAAGGGAAUUUCCAGUGGAGCGGUGAAAUGCGUAGAGAUUGGAAAGAACACCGAUGGCGAAGGCACUUUACUGGGCUAUUACUAACACUGAGAGACGAAAGCUAGGGUAGCAAACGGG
rnacentral:rRNA from 1 species